ACAUUUAAUCCUGUUAGUUCUGCAUGCGAUUUAAAAAAAUUGUUCUGGUAAUACUCUGUUCAACACUACAAGUAAUUCUGCAUCAAGAGAAAGCUCCAAAUAUUCUAACAACCAUUCAGCAUUUCCAAUGAUCUUAGAUCCACGCUUGGUGCGAAAACUGAAAACGAGAGAAAGGAAACGCUGUGGCCAGGUCCAUCUGAUACUGUGAAAUAUUUCUUAUCUUGAUUUUCUCCUGGAUAAGAUCCUGGAGCUUGGCUGGAGCCAAGAUGGCUGAAUAGGAACAGCUCCGGUCUACAGCUCCCAGCGUGAGCGACGUAGAAGACGGGUGAUUUCUGCAUUUCCAUCUGAGGUACUGGGUUCAUCUCACUAGGGAGUGCCAGACAGUGGGCGCAGGACAGUGGGUGCAGUGCACCGUGCGCAAGCCGAAGGAGGGCGAGGCAUUGCCUCACUCGGGAAGCACAAGGGGUCAGGGAGUUCCCUUUCCUAGUCAAAGAAACGGGGGACAGACGGCACCUGGAAAAUCGGGUCACUCCCACCCCAAUACUGCGCUUUUCCGAUGGGCUUAAAAAACGGCGUACCAGGAGAUUAUAUCCUGCACCUGGAUCGGAGGGUCCUAUGACCAUGGAGUCUCACUGAUUGGUAGCACAGCAGUCUGAGAUCAAACUGCAAGGCUGCAGCGAGGCUGGGGGAGGGGAGCCCGCCAUUGCCUAGGCUUGCUUAGGUAAACAAAGCAGCGGGGGAAGCUCCAACUGGGUGGAGCCCACCACAGCUCAAGGAGGCCUGCCUGCCUCUGUAGGCUCCACCUCUGGGGGCAGGGCAUAGACAAAAAGACAGCAGCAACCUCUGCAGACUUAAAUGUCCCUGUCUGACAGCUUUGAGAGAGCAGUGGUUCUCCCAGCACGCAGCUGGAGAUCUGAGAACAGGCAGACUGCCUCCUCAAGUGGGUCCCUGACUCCUGACCCCUGAGCAGCCUAACUGGGAGGCACCCCCCAGUAGGGGCAGACUGACACCUCACAUGGCCGGGUACUCCUCUGAGACAAAACUUCCAGAGGAACAAUCAGACAGCAGCAUUUGCAGUUCACGAAAAUCUGCUGUUUUGCAGCCACCGCUGCUGGUACCCAGGCAAACAGGGUCUGGAGUGGACCUCUAGCAAACUCCAACAGACCUGCAGCUGAGGGUCCCAUCUGUUAGAAGGAAAACUAACAAACAGAAAGGACAUCCACACCAAAAACCCAUCUGUACAUCACCAUCAUCAAAGACCAAAAGUAGAUAAAACCACAAAGAUGGGGAAAAAACAGAGCAGAAAAACUGGAAACUCUAAAAAUCAGAGCGCCUCUCCUCCUCCAAAGGAACGCAGCUCCUCACCAGCAACGGAACAAAGCUGGAUGGAGAAUGACUUUGACGAGUUGAGAGAAGAAGGCUUCAGACGAUCAAACUACUCCGAGCUACAGAAGGAAAUUCAAACCAAAGGCAAAGAAGUUGAAAAGUUUGAAAAAAAUUUAGACGAAUGUAUAACUAGAAUAACCAAUACAGAGAAGUGCUUAAAGGAGCUGAUGGAGCUGAAAGCCAAGGCUCGAGAACUACGUGAAGAAUACAGAAGCCUCAGGAGCCAAUGCGAUCAACUGGAAGAAAGGGUAUCAGUGAUGGAAGAUGAAAUGAAUGAAAUGAAGUGAGAAGGGAAGUUUAGAGAAAAAAGAAUAAAAAGAAACGAACAAAGUCUCCAAGAAAUAUGGGACUAUGUGAAAAGACCAAAUCUACGUCUGAUUGGUGUACCUGAAAGUGACAGGGAGAAUGGAACCAAGUUGGAAAACACUCUGCAGGAUAUUAUCCAGGAGAACUUCCCCAAUCUAGCAAGGCAGGCCAACAUUCAGAUUCAGGAAAUAUAGAGAACGCCACAAAGAUGCUCCUCGAGAAGAGCAACUCCAAGACACAUAAUUGUCAGAUUCACCAAAGUUGAAAUGAAGGAAAAAAUGUUAAGGGCAGCCAGAGAGAAAGGUCAGGUUACCCACAAAGGGAAGCCCGUCAGACUAACAGUGGAUCUCUCGGCAGAAACUCUACAAGCCAGAAGAGAGUGGGCGCCAAUAUUCAACUUAAAGAAAAGAAUUUUCAACCCAGAAUUUCAUAUCCAGCCAAACUAAGCUUCAUAAGUGAAGGAGAAAUAAAAUACUUUACAGACAAGCAAAUGCUGAGAGAUUUUGUCACCACCAGGCCUGCCCUAAAAGAGCUCCUGAAGGAAGCACUAAACAUGGAAAGGAACAACCGGUACCAGCCGCUGCAAAAUCGUGCCAAAUUGUAAAGACCAUCGAGGCUAGGGAGAAACUGCAUCAACUAACAAGCAAAAUAACCAGCUAACAUCAUCAUGACAGGAUCAAAUUCACACAUAACAAUAUUAACUUUAAAUGUAAAUGGACUAAAUGCUCCAAUUAAAAGACACAGACUGGCAAAUUGGAUAAAGAGUCAAGACCCAUCAGUGUGCUGUAUUCAGGAACCCCAUCUCACGUGCAGAGACAAAUAUAGGCUCAAAAUAAAAGGAUGGAGGAAGAUCUACCAAGCAAAUGGAAAACAAAAAAGGCAGGGGUUGCAAUCCUAGUCUCUGAUAAAACAGACUUUAAACCAAUAAAGAUCAAAAGAGACAAAGAAGGCCAUUACAUAAUGGUAAAGGGAUUAGUUCAACAAGAAGAGCUAACUAUCCUAAAUAUAUAUGCACCCAAUACAGGAGCACCCAGAUUCAUAAAGCAAGUCCUGAGUGACCUACAAAGAGACUUAGACUCCCACACAAUAAUAAUGGGAGACUUUAACACCCCACUGUCAAUAUUAGACCGAUCAAUGAGACAGAAAGUUAACAAGGAUACCCAGGAAUUGAACUCAGCUCUGCACCAAGUGGACCUAAUAGACAUCUACAGAACUCUCCACCCCAAAUCAACAGAAUAUACAUUUUUUUCAGCACCACACCACACCUAUUCCAAAAUUGACCACACAGUUGGAAGUAAAGCUCUCCUCAGCAAAUGUAAAAGAUCAGAAAUUAUAACAAACUGUCUCUCAGACCACAGUGCAAUCAAACUAGAACUCAGGAUUAAGAAACUCACUCAAAACUGCUCAACUACAUGGAAACUGAACAACUUACUCCUGAAUGACUACUGGGUACAUAACAAAAUGAAGGCAGAAAUAAAGAUGUUCUUUGAAACCAAUGAGAACAAAGACACAACAUACCAGAAUCUCUGGGACAGAUUCAAAGCAGUGUGUAGUGGGAAAUUUAUAGCACUAAAUGCCCCACAAGAGAAAGCAGGAAAGAUCCAAAAUUGACACCCUAACAUCACAAUUAAAAGAACUAGAGAAGCAAGAGCAAACAAAUUCAAAAGCUAGCAGAAGGCAAGAAAUAACUAAGAUUAGAGCAGAACUGAAGGAAAUAGAGACAUAAAAAACCCUUCAAAAAAUUAAUGAAUCCAGGAGCUGGUUUUUUGAAAGGAUCAACAAAAUUGAUAGACUG
ensembl:lncRNA LINC02895 long intergenic non-protein coding RNA 2895